GGACGAGCAUAAGGCCACCUGGUGGUCAGUUAUUGACGUCGCUCAUGGACAUCAGCAAUGUCAGAACCACAACCAAGUCGAUGCUUACCGAAGGUUAUGCCUGAGGACGUUGCUAAGACUAGCCCGAGCAAGAGCAGUGCUUCGCAGAAUCUGCCACCGGAUCGGAAAUGCGACCCACUGAGAAGAUCCGGCGAGAAACUCAAUGGGCUGGUCUUAAUAUGGAAUCCAUAUAUGUACCUAUAUUAAAGAGAAUGUAUGUGUGUAUACAUAUAUGUUCACCUAAAAUUAUCUUAAGUAGUUAGUUCUGUGAAUUGUCUUAUGGCUUUUAUAUUUUAAUAUAAAAAUGCGAUUUCUUACGUAUACCUAAUAGAGAUUUCGAACCCAUAUCUGAAAGCGGGUGACGACUCUCACUAUAUUAUGUCUACAAGCAACGGUUACUUGGCAGCAGCUCAUUCGAAUAGUUCGUCGGUUCUUAUAAAUAAUUAAAAUCUUACUGUUAUUAUGGCGUCUUGUGAGUCCGCACGAGUAGGUACCAGCAACCUGCUUAUUCGUUUAGCGAAACAGUAAAACGUUCCAUUUUGAAGGGUGGGGCGGUCAUUGUGCUAUAGAACUAAGACUCAAAAGUCAUGUCUCAAGGUGGAUGCCGGGAUUCAUAAACAAUAUGAGCGCGGUGACCCAAAUUAAAACACAAAGUUGAAUGCUCAAUAAUUCUAAAACUACCGUUACACCUUUUAAGCCAUAAUGAAUAAUGACCGCUUCGUGGUAGAAAUUGGCAGGAUAUUCGUUCAAUUAAAACUAUUUUUCAGUAAAUUAAAGUAAUUUAAGCUUUUCUUUAAGUUUAAGCUUUGAUUCAUUUAAAAUAGAAAUGGAACAUGCGUAUGGAGAGUUAGGAGUGGGAUACGAUUGAAUGAGGAAACUAUUUCAUGGAGGGACCGCUAGUAGCCCAGGGGCUACAGAGCACGAGAACUGAUAUAGUAUUCUUUCGAGAGACAAAGUGGCUUAAGUUUUCUUGAGGUCCUCACAUCGUCAUACGGAGAAUACCCGAAACAUUCCGAUGAGAUAAUUAUCCUGGCCCUCAGUUCGAAAGCAUCGGUAUAGUUUAUUUAUUUUAUUUAUUGCUUAGAUGGGUGGACGAAGUCACGGCCCACCUGGUUUUAAUCGGUUAACGGAUCCGAUAGACAGCUACAAUGCAAAUGCCACUACCCAUCUUUGGACAUGAGCUCUAAGGUCUCAGUUUUUACAGAACUACGAUUGCCCUAUCCUUCAAAAUAAAACGCAGUACUGCUUCACGGCCGAAAUGGUGGUGGUGGUACCGGUGCGGGCUGACACGAUGCCCUACUACUAGUAAUUCUGAAUAUUUUUAUUUUUGCGAGUUUAAAUUUUAAUUACACCAUGAUAUUCCUUUUACAUAUGAUAUUCCUUUUUAAGCCACAUACUACUAUACUACUACUAGUCGUAUAGAGGGCAAGCGCGCCCUGGGCAGAACACCAGCCAGAUAGUCAGGUCUAGUAAGAGAAGCACUUGGUGGUAGUCUGUACCAUGCGGUCCGUGCCACCCAUGAUCGAACACAGUGGAAGUGGUCCACGUCACAUAUGGUCGCGAUCCUCAGUAGUGAGGGAACAAUAUAGAAGAGACUCUGGCGCAAAAUUUUAUGCUUUCCCAUAGAGGGGAAUAUCAUUCCUAAAUAAUUUCCGUAGUCUUUUCUUCGAAUGAAAAUAUCUAAAUAAAUUGCCUUCUAUUCUUUUUAGUACCUAAUAAAAAUACACAAAUUUUCCUCGUCGUAACCACAAACUUGCGGAAUUCGGGAUUUUGUUCAAAAUAUGUAUCAAUAACCUUGAAAUCAUUUACGUCACGCAUAGUCAAAUUGAACACUCGCAAAGAGUUUUUGAAGUGAAACUUCUUUAUCGGCGUUGGAAAAAAAUUUACCGUCACAUUUUUCGGUUACGCGUCACAUUUUUCCGUUACGCGCCAUCUUUUUUGUAUUCAUGUCUAUGAUAAUAAAAUCCUUUUGUUUAAACUUUAUCUAAUUUAACUUUUUUGUAUUCAUGUCUAUGAUAAUAAAAUCCUUUUGUUUAAACUUUAUCUAAUUUAACUUUAUUUAACCAAUUUCUAGAAAGUUGCAUGUAGAUCAUUUUUCGAAAAAUAAGGCCAUAAAGAAGUUUCACUUCUUACGUGUGUACACUAGUACACGCACACAUUUUUUUUUUAUGAAUUCUCUGAGCAUACCUAUUUAAAAAAAAAAGUUGAGUUGUGUUGUUGAGUAAAAUGUAUUUUUUUUGCACUCUCUGUGUAAAUACUAAUUGUAGUUCUUACUAUAUAAUGUAAAUCAAUUCAUAAUUUGGAUUUUGCAAGAAACCUUGAGCAUAACUUGUAAUAUUAUACAAAUAUUAUUAUCAUAUUGUAAAACUGCUGCGCAAGGAAUUGACAUUGACAUUACUUUGUACAGCUAUCUACUUCGUACAGUUGUUUCUCGUACCUACUUGCGUCAGUUCCUCAUUUACAUAACAGACAGUAAUAGAGUAACGAAACAUAUAGAGUAUAGACGGAGAACCUUCUCAUGGGUCGGUUAAAAACAAAAAGAAAAUGUUCUCGUAUAUAGGUAUAUGGGCGCAAACGCCACUAUUGGCAAUAACUAACAUAAUAAUAUAUAGUUUAGUUUAUUCUAUAUUAAUAUUUAUUUAUUAUUAGCAAGAUGAAACUGUUAUUCUACCAUCUAUACUAAUAUUAUAAAGAGGAAAGAUUUGUUUGUUUGUUUGUUUCGAAUAGGCUCCGAAACUACUGGACCGAUUUGAAAAAUUCUUUUUCCAUUAGAAGCCGACAUUGUCCCUGAUGAACAUAGGAUACUUUUUUUAAAUUUUUUUUUUUUUUUGGUUUCAUGUGUGUUUUAAUGUUUCCAAAGCGAAGCGAGGGCGGGUCGCUAGUAUCUAAUAAUUAGCAGACACUGUUUUGAUGUGAAAACGUUCAGAAUAUGUUUGAUGUGUAUAUCAUUGUUUAAAAACACAAAUGAGUGUAUAAAUAAUUAAAUAUGAAUAAAACAUAAAUAUUAAUAAUAAUUAUAAUUUAUAUUAUAAUUAACAGUAAUAAUUUAAUUAAUUAUUGUAAUUGUUAUGCAAUGAUGUUGUUGGCGCCAUCUAUUAUUAGGCUGGUUAAUAACAAUGUUAGUUUUUAAAUAAUAAUUAAAAAUAAUUUAAUUAUGUAAAAUAAAUUAAUGUCAGAGUCAUGUAUAAAUCACUAAAAUAUUUAUUGUGAAUAUUAAGCCAUAUUUUGUGAAUUGUUUCGCAGUAAUACAUUUGUUUGUAUAAAAGAAGUUGUAGUUACUACAACCAUCACAAAAUGGCUAAUUGUGUAAGAACCACUGAACAAUUAAGACAUGGCUUUUUCUUGUAAACAAGUAAUGUUAAAGUUUUAUAGAAUUC